UACGUAGGGCGCAAGCGUUGUCCGGAAUUAUUGGGCGUAAAGAGCUCGUAGGCGGCCUGGUGCGUCCGCUGUGAAAUCCCGGGGCUCAACCCCGGGCCUGCAGUGGAUACGGGCUGGCUAGAGGCAGGCAGGGGAGAACGGAAUUCCUGGUGGAGCGGUGAAAUGCGCAGAUAUCAGGAGGAACACCGGUGGCGAAGGCGGUCUGCUGGGCCAAGACUGACGCUGAGGCGCGACAGCGUGGGGAGCAAACAGG
rnacentral:rRNA from 1 species